rnacentral:lncRNA from 1 species
ACAUUACCCAACAUCCCCCAACUCUGUUUUUGUACUGCACCUAACCCAUCUCUCUCUCUCUCUCUCUCUCUCUCUCUCUCUCUCUCUCUCUCACAUGUUCAGUUUCAAAGCACCAAGGACUUAGCUCCAUAACUUGUCUUCACGAUUUUCUCUCUUUCCACGCUUUCUAAAGUUGAAUAUCCACCUUUUGAUUCUUGCUGAUAUUCAUGCACUUAAAAGCCCGGACACUUAUAAAUUCCUUCUCAUUUGUCCCUAACUUUCUUGCUCUUUGAGUAUUUUAGACUCCAUUUACAUCUUAUACUUAAGAACAUGUCCAGCCUAAGGUCAAGAUCUAGGCAAUCAGGUGGUGCAAGAAUCUCGGACGAUCAGAUUAAUGAUCUCGUUUCGAAGUUGCAACAGCUUCUCCCCGAGAUUCGUAACAGUAGACGUUCUGACAAGGUACAUAUAUCUAUCUCGUUUCCUCUUAAGUCUGGUUUCUCUUUCAUAUGAGAUCUCUAUCAAAAGAGGAAAAAUAGACUUAAAUCUAAUUAAACAAUUCAGAAUUAAGUGGUUUCUUUCCAUAUAAAGAAAAGCAAAAAGGUUAAGCAAAUAAUGAUGCUAAUGAGUCAAGUAGUUUGUAAUUGAAUGCAGCCGCUACAAUAUUUUACUAUUUUGAUCAAGAAAAAAGAGAGAGAGAGAGUAGAGAUUGAUUUGAUUGCGGGGCGCAUUUUCAUAUAGUUGUUCCAUCUAUUUCUCUCUUGAUUGAUUUAAUUCCCUAUAUAUAUAUAUAUAUAUAUUUUUUUUUUUCAAGUAAUAAAAAUGAAAUAUUAUAUAUAUGGACCCAGGUUUCAGCAGCCACGGUGCUACAGGAAACGUGCAACUAUAUAAGAAGCUUGCACAGGGAAGUGGAUGAUCUAAGUGAGAGGCUGUCUGAGCUUUUGGCAACAACUGACAGUGCCCAAGCUGCUGUGAUCAGGAGCUUACUUUCGCAAUAGAAGGAAGGAUGGCUAUCAUUAAUUACUUUAAUUAAUAGAGUAUCAUCACUUAAUUAUGUAAUAAGGGCAUCGAUCGAUCGGUCUUUUUCGUCUCUGAUCUAUUCUCUCUAUGUUUUUCUAGGGUUUUUGUUCAGUAGAUUAAAAUUAUGACGGUCUCUAGAAGAUCCUUUUGCAAAGCUGUGUACUACUUACUGGGUUAAUUAAGGAGUUGAUAUAAUAAAAGGACUCGACUAGUUCUUGCAACCAUUUGAGCC